ACAAACUGAAAAUUAUUACCUCGUAUAACUGUGGAAAUAUGGUCCACAAGUCUCUACCAGAUGGCCGUAAACCAUCUGACUACGGGGGAAGUGCACCUAGGG
rnacentral:ncRNA from 2 species